CACCAGCUAAGCGUCCCGAAGAAGAAGACCAAGAACUUUAUGAAAUCUGGCAGGGAAUCUUGGAAGAUGCAGCGGCAGAAUCUUUUGGAGCUCAGGAGGGUGAGGACCGCGGCCUUGACACACUGCCUCUAGCAAUAUGGAACUAUACAGAGCCCGGGAACAUGCAUAUCAGGAAUCCUCCCGCUGUGAGAACGCAUCAACCCAGCCAUGUUACUAUGCAGAAUUUCCUAGGACUACAAGUGGAUGAUUCAGAUUACAUACCAGCAAGGAAAAGACGUUCUGCUAUGAAAGGCCUUGUCAGAGCGGGGGUAUAUGGAAUUUUAAAAUACUGCCUGAAGAAUUACAUGUAUGAUUCAUGCUACGGGUGUAUGGUUCAAGCAGGGGGGCAAGACUCCCAUGAAUGUGUUACUUGGACCGAUAGAAAUGUUUCCAGAUUUAUUAGAACAUUGUCAUCAAGGAUGUGUGUGAAAGCAGUGCUCCACAUAAUUAUUAUAAUUGCUUACAGCUUGAAAAUGUUAUUGCUAUCUAGUGAUACCGUGAAUCAGACUCUAAACCUCAUCAGCAGGGUUAAGGGUUCUGAUGACCCGCAGGCUGUGUUAGAAGCUAUCCCACAACAGAACGAUUCCAGAAUGCUCUCUUUUGUGAACUGUGUCCUCGAAAAAAGGGGAUACAGACAGUUUCUUGUUCCAGAGAUACCUGAAUAAAUUCCCUCGCAAAAGUCUAA